GCCAGCUUUGCGUUAGGGGCCGUCCAUUUCUGUCGGAGUAGAUCUAGUGGUGGGACGGCGUCUUUCUCCUCUCUCACACACCAAGAGGUUCACAAGUCGCGUGAGCUCCACUCGCAGCCCUGCCUCCUACUCCGUCAUCACGGAAACCAGAGCUGUCACUGCAGCAACCGAGUCAGCCCUGUUUAGUCAAUCGGGGGCGAGGUUCCAACAACCACAGCAACAAACACCAGGUGUCUGUACUUGACUCGGGAACUCACAAUGGCGCUUGCUCCGUUUUUCUGUCCAAAUCCCCACGACUUUUGACAUCUGUCCAAUUCCCCAUGACUUUUGACAUUUAACCAGGACAUCCCUGGCCCUGGUUACUAUGAUGUGAGUGAGGUGGUGAGGAGAAAAAAACGGGCACCCCAUCGUACUCGGACUUCAACGCCUUUGCCCAGCUCACUGCUGUAGAGGUCUCCAGUGCCCAGACAGAAGGGCAUUCCAGGCUCUGGCCAUUAUGAACCGAGGCCUCAGGCUUGCCCUCGCCUGACUCUGCUGGUGUCCCGUGAGGACCACUUUCCUGAGCGAUCAACCCCGGGCCCAGAACCUGGAGAAUAUGAGGUACAGACAUUCGCAC